rnacentral:rRNA from 1 species
CGAGGAAUAUUGCACAAUGGAGGCAACUCUGAUGCAGUAACGCCGCGUGGGGGAAGAAGACCUUCGGGUUGUAAACCUCUUUUUGUAGAGACGAGUGAGGACGGUAUCUAUAGAAUAAGUCUCGGCUAACUACGUGCCAGCAGCCGCGGUAAGACGUAGGAGGCGAGCGUUAUCCGGAUUCACUGGGCGUAAAGCGCAUGUAGGCGGCUGUCCAAGUCAUGUGUUAAAGCCCCCGGCUCAACUGGGGGAGGUCAUGUGAGACUGGUCGGCUUGAGGGCAGCAGAGGCACGUGGAACUCCCGGUGUAGCGGUGGAAUGCGUAGAGAUCGGGAAGAACACCCGUGGCGAAGGCGGCGUGCUGGGCUGCGACUGACGCUGAGAUGCGAAAGUGUGGGGAGCAAACGGG